rnacentral:rRNA from 1 species
UGUCGUCAGCUCGUGUUGUGAAAUGUUGGGUUAAGUCCCGCAACGAGCGCAACCCUUAUCCUUUGUUGCCAGCGGUCCGGCCGGGAACUCAAAGGAGACUGCCAGUGAUAAACUGGAGGAAGGUGGGGAUGACGUCAAGUCAUCAUGGCCCUUACGACCAGGGCUACACACGUGCUACAAUGGCGCAUACAAAGAGAAGCGACCUCGCGAGAGCAAGCGGA